rnacentral:lncRNA from 1 species
GCUAUCUAAUGAACUGUAAAGGACUCCUAUAAAAUGACAGGGCGCAGCUGAGAGCAGGGCCCUAAAGGACAGUAACACAGGGGCGGUGGAAAAUCAUGAUUCAUUGUCCAAGCUCCCAGAGGCAGCUACUGGUUUCCCCGCAGCACACCAGGGAGCCACACAAACUGCUUUGUCAAAUGACUGCUGGGACAGCCGGCACCCUUGUGGAAUGAGUGCGCCGCUCGCAGGACUCCCAGCGGUUCCUUCCUUCACCUGCCCUGCAGUGUGGGACCGUCUGAAGAUGACUCCCAGCAUUGCCGUGUAUGCAUCAGGGCACCUGGCGUGUCCCCGCUCCAUUUUUAUAGAGACAUAGAAGCAUCUUCAUUAAUGCUAGAGGAGAGAGCAACCUGGCCUUCAGAACUCAUAUCAUCAUGCUCUCUCUGUCCUCCUCGAAAAUGAGCCCGAAAACAAAACAAGUGGGUCCGAAAGCAAGGGGCGGGAGCUGCAUCCAGCCAAAGCCCAGCCUCUCCCUGAAGCCGCCUGGCCUGAUGGUGUCCCCUCUUCUUCCGGUGCCUACAGCGGAGCCCUCAGGACCGAGACCUGGGCCCAUCCUGCCUUCUGAGAGACUUCACCAGGAUCAGGCUGUGUCCAACGCACAACACGGUGUUAUUCACACAGUAAGUCAUCAAUUCCUGCCGAUGUUACUUAUGACGAGGUAUGAGGACUAGGGAGAGAUUUCCUUCUAUCUGUUCCGUACAGAAUGCUGUUUCAUAAAAAGCCUCGACUGAAGAGGACAGUCCAUCACAACUUACAGAGAAACGUACAUCAGAGUAUU